rnacentral:rRNA from 1 species
GGAGGAGGCAAGCGUUGUCCGGAAUCAUUGGGCGUAAAGAGCGCGUAGGCUGUUUUUCAAGUCAUAUGUGAAAACCUCAGGCUUAACUUGAGGACUGCAUAUGAAACUGGGAAACUUGAGUGCAGUAGGGGAAAGUGGAAUUCCUGGUGUAGCGGUGAAAUGCGCAGAUAUCAGGAAGAACACCGGUAGCGAAGGCGGCUUUCUGGGCUGCUACUGACGCUGAGGCGCGAAAGCUAGGGGGGGAGCAAACAGGAUUAGAUACCCUGGUAGUCCUAGCUGUAAACGAUGGACACUAGGUGUGGGAAGUUAUCGACGCUUUCCGUGCCGGAGCUAACGCAUUAAGUGUCCCCGCCUGGGAGUACGGUCGCAAGCUA